rnacentral:rRNA from 1 species
GAUGAACGCUGGCGGCGUGCCUAAUACAUGCAAGUCGAGCGAACAGUCGAGGAGCUUGCUCCUCUGACGUUAGCGGCGGACGGGUGAGUAACACGUGGAUAACCUACCUAUAAGACUGGGAUAACUUCGGGAAACCAGAGCUAAUACCGGAUAAUAUAUUGAACCGCAUGGUUCAAUAGUGAAAGACGGUUUUGCUGUCACUUAUAGAUGGAUCCGCGCCGCAUUAGCUAGUUGGUAAGGUAACGGCUUACCAAGGCGACGAUGCGUAGCCGACCUGAGAGGGUGAUCGGCCACACUGGAACUGAGACACGGUCCAGACUCCUACGGGAGGCAGCAGUAGGGAAUCUUCCGCAAUGGGCGAAAGCCUGACGGAGCAACGCCGCGUGAGUGAUGAAGGUCUUCGGAUCGUAAAACUCUGUUAUUAGGGAAGAACAAAUGUGUAAGUAACUAUGCACGUCUUGACGGUACCUAAUCAGAAAGCCACGGCUAACUACGUG